rnacentral:rRNA from 1 species
AUUGAACGCUGGCGGCAGGCCUAACACAUGCAAGUCGAGCGGAUGAAGGGAGCUUGCUCCUGGAUUCAGCGGCGGACGGGUGAGUAAUGCCUAGGAAUCUGCCUGGUAGUGGGGGAUAACGUCCGGAAACGGGCGCUAAUACCGCAUACGUCCUGAGGGAGAAAGUGGGGGAUCUUCGGACCUCACGCUAUCAGAUGAGCCUAGGUCGGAUUAUCUAGUUGGUGGGGUAAAGGCCUACCAAGGCGACGAUCCGUAACUGGUCUGAGAGGAUGAUCAGUCAAACUGGAAGUGAGACACGGUCCAGACUCCUAAGGGAGGCAGCAGUGGGGAAUAUUGGACAAUGGGAGAAAGCCUGACCCAGCCAUGACGCGUGUGUGAAGAAGGUCUUCGGAUUGUAAAGCACUUUAAGUUGGGAGGAAGGGAAGUAAGUUAAUACCUUGCUGUUUUGACGUUACCAACAGAAUAAGCACAGGAUAAAUUCGUG